GUGCCAAAAUGGUGGAGCUUAGAACACAAAAUUUGGAUGAAAUUUGGAGGCGGGAGAAUGCUCACCAAUUUACAAUGCCGGCUGAACUAAGUGCCUCCAGGACUACCUCUACAGGCGAUAUAUACAAAU